UGGGGAAUUUUGGGCAAUGGGCGAAAGCCUGACCCAGCAACGCCGCGUGAAGGAUGAAGUAUUUCGGUAUGUAAACUUCGAAAGAAUAGGAAGAAUAAAUGACGGUACUAUUUAUAAGGUCCGGCUAACUACGUGCCAGCAGCCGCGGUAAUACGUAGGGACCAAGCGUUGUUCGGAUUUACUGGGCGUAAAGGGCGCGUAGGCGGCAAUUCAAGUCAUCUGUGAAAUCUCCGGGCUUAACUCGGAACGGUCAGAUGAUACUGCUUUGCUAGAGUGCAGAAGGGGCAAUCGGAAUUCUUGGUGUAGCGGUGAAAUGCGUAGAUAUCAAGAGGAACACCUGAGGUGAAGACGGGUUGCUGGGCUGACACUGACGCUGAGGCGCGAAAGC
rnacentral:rRNA from 1 species